rnacentral:misc_RNA from 1 species
UUCCAAUAAUUCUCCACUCUAUGUCUCCAAAGUUCCGUGUCCUUCGCAAACAUUUCACUGGAAUAGCCAAAAUCAGCAAGGCUAGGAGGAGGAGUUGUUAGUCUAGCUGGCCAAGGAGCCAAACCACUCCCCUUAACUCUCUGGUCAUGAUCAGAAUAAGGUGUGAUGCAAGCUUCCAUUUGCACACCCCACACUGCAUCUGGAUCAUCAUCAGAUCGACAGAGAGGAGGUUGUGUGCCAGCUUCUCUUUCCAUAUAACAGUCAUUUGUUAAGGGUUUUUGCCAAACGACAGUCUGGUUCCUCUUAGCAGCUAUUUUCCAACA